rnacentral:piRNA from 1 species
UACUGCUCCGCCGACAGAUCGGGUCCCA